UACGGAGGGUGCAAGCGUUGUUCGGAAUCACUGGGCGUAAAGGGCGUGUAGGCGGCCCGCUAAGUCUGAUGUGAAAUCCCCUCGCUCAACGAGGGAACUGCGUCGGAAACUGGCGGACUCGAGUACCGGAGAGGAAGGUGGAAUUCCCGGUGUAGCGGUGAAAUGCGUAGAUAUCGAGAGGAACACCGGUGGCGAAGGCGGAGUCCCUGGUCCGCUUACUG
rnacentral:rRNA from 1 species